rnacentral:lncRNA from 1 species
UCUUUUGGUCUCUUAACUUAUUUUUUGGUUUCGUUUUGGUCCCUUAACUAUUAAAAGUUUCGUUUUGGUCCCUUAACUUACUUUUUGGUUUCGUUUUGGUCCCUUAACUAUUAAAAGUUUCGUUUUGGUCUUUUAACUUACUUUUUGGUUUCGUUUUGGUCCCUUAACUCUUCCUUCGUCAACCACUUUGGUCCUUUAUGUUAGGAUGAAUGUAUUAGAGUUAAGGGACUAAAAUGAAACCAAAAAAUAAG